ACGCGUAGGUAACCUGCCUUGUAGCGGGGGAUAACUAUUGGAAACGAUAGCUAAUACCGCAUAACAAUGGAUGACACAUGUCAUUUAUUUUGAAAGGGGCAAUUGCUCCACUACAAGAUGGACCUGCGUUGUAUUAGCUAGUAGGUGAGGUAAUGGCUCACCUAGGCGACGAUACAUAGCCGACCUGAGAGGGUGAUCGGCCACACUGGGACUGAGACACGGCCCAAACUCCUACGGGAGGCAGCAUG
rnacentral:rRNA from 1 species